rnacentral:rRNA from 1 species
UACAGAGGGUGCAAGCGUUAAUCGGAAUUACUGGGCGUAAAGCGCUCGUAGGCGGAUGUCUAAGUCGAUUGUGAAAGCCCUGGGCUUAACCUGGGAACUGCAUUCGAGACUGCAUUGCUAGAGUAUGGGAGAGGGAAGUGGAAUUUCCGGUGUAGCGGUGAAAUGCGUAGAUAUCGGAAGGAACAUCAGUGGCGAAAGCGACUUCCUGGACCAAUACUGACGCUCAUGUGCGAAAGCGUGGGGAGCAAACAGG